rnacentral:rRNA from 1 species
AGUGAACGCUGGCGGUAGGCCUAACACAUGCAAGUCGAACGGCAGCACAGUAAGAGCUUGCUCUUACGGGUGGCGAGUGGCGGACGGGUGAGGAAUACAUCGAAAUCUACUUUUUCGUGGGGGAUAACGUAGGGAAACUUACGCUAAUACCGCAUACGACCUACGGGUGAAAGCAGGGGAUCUUCGGACCUUGCGCGAUUGAAUGAGCCGAUGUCGGAUUAGCUAGUUGGCGGGGUAAAGGCCCACCAAGGCGACGAUCCGUAGCUGGUCUGAGAGGAUGAGCAGCCACACUGGAACUGAGACACGGUCCAGACUCCUACGGGAGGCAGCAGUGGGGAAUAUUGGACAAUGGGCGCAAGCCUGAUCCAGCCAUACCGCGUGGGUGAAGAAGGCCUUCGGGUUGUAAAGCCCUUUUGUUGGGAAAGAAAGGCAGCAGGUUAAUACCCCGCUGUUCUGACGGUACCCAAAGAAUAAGCACCGGCUAACUUCGUG